GUAUGUACGUGGACAGACUGAGUGAAAAGAUAAGAUGGAGUGAGGAGGAAUAAAGAGUCAACAGGUUAAUGAAGUGUGACCAUUUUGACAGGAGAGACCCGCUCGCCGAGAAACCUCGGUUUUCAGUGGCUUAUGGAAAUGUUCUCCCACCUACGAUACCACAUCUGUUCCCCUGGUACCACUCCCCUCCUUCCCUCUGA
rnacentral:lncRNA from 1 species